rnacentral:rRNA from 1 species
UACCAGCACCCCGAGUGGUCGGGACGAUUAUUGGGCCUAAAGCAUCCGUAGCCGGUCUUGCAAGUCUUCCGUUAAAUCCAGCUGCUUAACAGAUGGGCUGCGGAGGAUACUACAAGACUAGGAGGUGGGAGAGGCAAGCGGUACUCAGUGGGUAGGGGUAAAAUCCUCUGAUCCAUUGAAGACCACCAGUGGCGAAGGCGGCUUGCCAGAACGCGCUCGACGGUGAGGGAUGAAAGCUGGGGGAGCAAACCGG